GAUGAACGCUGGCGGCGUGCCUAAUACAUGCAAGUCGAGCGAACAGACGAGGAGCUUGCUCCUCUGACGUUAGCGGCGGACGGGUGAGUAACACGUGGAUAACCUACCUAUAAGACUGGGAUAACUUCGGGAAACCGGAGCUAAUACCGGAUAAUAUAUUGAACCGCAUGGUUCAAUAGUGAAAGACGGUUUUGCUGUCACUUAUAGAUGGAUCCGCGCCGCAUUAGCUAGUUGGUAAGGUAACGGCUUACCAAGGCGACGAUGCGUAGCCGACCUGAGAGGGUGUUCGGCCACACUGGAGCUGGGACGCGGUCCAGGCUCCUACGGGAGGCAGCAGUAGGGAAUCUUCCGCAAUGGGCGGAAGCCUGACGGAGCAACGCCGCGUGAGUGAUGAAGGUCUUCGGAUCGUAAAACUCUGUUAUUAGUGAAGAACAAAUGUGUAAGUAACUAUGCACGUCUUGACGGUACCUAGUCAGAAAGCCACGGCUAACUACGUG
rnacentral:rRNA from 1 species